UCCCAGGCGGAAGGGAGAAAUUUCAGCAGCGCCCCCAGCAAAUGCUCCAGCCACAGGGUAGGAGGUGGGGAGGGAGGAAAAGGUGAGGGAUACUAUGUCCCUCAGGGCCACGUGAGCAGGGAUCUUGAGGCCAAACAAAAGCAGGGGAGACGGAGCACAGUCAGUGGGCAGAGCGGAGCACUCCAUCAUCGCACUGGGUCAGUCCACGAAUGACCCGUUGCUGCUUGUCGCUGCUGCCUAGGCCAGACACCCAGGAGGAGCCGCUGCAUCCGAGCCUCCUGCAGGGUCCGAAGCUGCCCGCCUGAAAAGUGCAGAGACCCUCAGCGGUGCCUCUCCCCAAUACCUCCCGUGCCAAGUCCCAGUCCCAGCACAAGGAAGAGACAGGUGUCCCUUAACUGGCAGCCACUGACGUGAGUCUGUGAUUCCUCCUCUAUUAGAUCCUCCCUUGGGAAAUGCUAGCUUUGCCACCAUUUCCUCUCUCCUUCUGUUCUCCUCUCUUU